GUGCUUGCUUCGGCAGCACAUAUACUAAAAUUGGAACGAUACAGAGAAGGCCUUCAUGGGUUCUGCGCAAGGAUAAUCCAAACCACAUUCCAAUUACUCCUUAAAUGA